rnacentral:rRNA from 1 species
UACGUAGGUGGCAAGCGUUGUCCGGAUUUAUUGGGUUUAAAGGGUGCGUAGGCGGUUUAAUAAGUCAGCGGUGAAAUCCGGCAGCUCAACUGUCGAUGUGCCAUUGAUACUGUUGAACUUGAGUACUGAUGAGGUAGGCGGAAUUGACGGUGUAGCGGUGAAAUGCUUAGAUAUCGUCAAGAACACCGAUAGCGAAGGCAGCUUACUAAGCAGUAACUGACGCUGAUGCACGAAAGUGUGGGGAUCAAACAGG